CCUAGAGUUGUAGGCUUUGCCUGCUAUCUCUUACCCAUGUCUUUUGAGUACCUUCGUUCCUCCCUCGGCGGGUCCGCCCGCCGAUUGGACAAUUUAAACCAUUUGCAGUUGCAAUCAGCGUCUGAAAAAACUUAAUAGUUA
rnacentral:misc_RNA from 1 species